rnacentral:RNase_MRP_RNA from 1 species
GCAGCGAACACACAGGGAGCUUGCUCCCACAUAUGCUGCGGGGAAAGUCCUCGUGCCUUGGGGCAGAAAGUGCCACUGGGA